rnacentral:rRNA from 1 species
ACCGGCGCCUUUGAGGCGCACGAGAUUGAGCAAUAACAGGUCUGUGAUGCCCUUAGAUGUCCUGGGCCGCACGCGCGCUACACUGAAGGAAUCAGCAUGUCUUCCUUGGCCUAGAGGCUCAGGAAACCCGUUGAAUCUCCUUCGUGCUGGGGAUUGGGGUUUGCAAUUGUCCCCCAUAAACGAGGAAUUCCUAGUAAGCGCGAGUCAUAAGCUCGCGUUGAUUACGUCCCUGCCCUUUGUACACACCGCCCGUCGCUACUACCGAUUGAAUGAUUUAGUGAGGUCUUCGGACCGACACGCGGUGGCUUUCCGGCCGUCGGCGUUGUUGGGAAGUUGACCAAACUUGAUCAUUUAGAGGAAGUAAAAGUCGUAAC